GGCCUAUUGGUGUAGUGGCAGCACUCCGGAUUUUGAGAUGUAAGCAGGAUUCACCGUAAUACUGCUUGACUUUCGAAAAAUUCCGGCAACCCCGGUUCGAACCCGGGAUAGACCU